AGAGUUUGAUCAUGGCUCAGAACGAACGCUGGCGCAGGCCUAACACAUGCAAGUCGAACGCGCCCUUCGGGGCGAGUGGCGGACGGGUGAGUAACGCGUGGCACCUGCCCUAGGGUACGGAAUAAUUCAGGGAAACCUGGACUAAUACCGUAUACGCCUCUUUCGGGAGGGAAAGAUUUAUCGCCCUGGGAUGGGCCCGCGUCGGAUUAGCUAGUUGGUGGGGUAAUGGCCUACCAAGGCGACGAUCCGUAGCUGGUUUGAGAGGACGAUCAGCCACACUGGGACUGAGACACGGCCCAGACUCCUACGGGAGGCAGCAGUGGGGAAUAUUGGACAAUGGGGGCAACCCUGAUCCAGCCAUGCCGCGUGAGUGAUGAAGGCCUUCGGGUUGUAAAGCUCUUUCACCCGUGACGAUGAUGACGGUAGCGGGAGAAGAAGCCCCGGCUAACUCCGUGCCAGCAGCCGCGGUAAUACGGAGGGGGCUAGCGUUGUUCGGAAUUACUGGGCGUAAAGCGCGCGUAGGCGGCGGAUCGCGUCAGAUGUGAAAGCCCCGGGCUCAACCUGGGAUGUGCAUUUGAUACGGGUCUGCUUGAAUUCGGGAGAGGGUAGUGGAAUUCCCAGUGUAGAGGUGAAAUUCGUAGAUAUUGGGAAGAACACCAGUGGCGAAGGCGGCUACCUGGCCCGAGAUUGACGCUGAGGCGCGAAAGCGUGGGGAGCAAACAGGAUUAGAUACCCUAGUAGUCC
rnacentral:rRNA from 1 species